UUGCGGGGGGUUCACAUCAUGUGUUGUACUGCUACAUGGUGGGACUCCCCUGCAACC
rnacentral:pre_miRNA from 1 species